GACGAACGCUGGCGGCGUGCUUAACACAUGCAAGUCGAACGGAAAGGCCCUGCUUUUGUGGGGUGCUCGAGUGGCGAACGGGUGAGUAACACGUGAGUAACCUGCCCUUGACUUUGGUAUAACUUCAGGUAACUGGGGCUAAUACCGGAUAGGAUCUCCUGCUGCAUGGUGGGGGUUGGAAAGUUUCGGCGGUUGGGGAUGGACUCGCGGCUUAUCAGCUUGUUGGUGGGGUAGUGGCUUACCAAGGCUUUGACGGGUAGCCGGCCUGAGUGGGUGACCGGCCACAAUGGGACUGAGAUACGGCCCAGACUCCUACGGGAGGCAGCAGUGGGGAAUAUUGCACAAUGGGCGGAAGCCUGAUGCAGCAACGCCGCGUGCGGGAUGACGGCCUUCGGGUUGUAAACCGCUUUCGCCUGUGACGAAGCGUGAGUGACGGUAAUGGGUAAAGAAGCACCGGCUAACUACGUG
rnacentral:rRNA from 1 species